GCAGAGAUGCUUUGGUGCCUUCGGGAACUCUGAGACAGGUGCUGCAUGGCUGUCGUCAGCUCGUGUUGUGAAAUGUUGGGUUAAGUCCCGCAACGAGCGCAACCCUUAUCCUUUGUUGCCAGCGGCUCGGCCGGGAACUCAAAGGAGACUGCCGGUGAUAAACCGGAGGAAGGUGGGGAUGACGUCAAGUCAUCAUGGCCCUUACGGCCAGGGCUACACACGUGCUACAAUGGCGCAUACAAAGAGAAGCGACCUCGCGAGAGCAAGCGGACCUCAUAAAGUGCGUCGUAGUCCGGAUUGGAGUCUGCAACUCGACUCCAUGAAGUCGGAAUCGCUAGUAAUCGUAGAUCAGAAUGCUACGGUGAAUACGUUCCCGGGCCUUGUACACACCGCCCGUCACACCAUGGGAGUGGGUUGCAAAAGAAGUAGGUAGCUUAACCUUCGGGAGGGCGCUUACCACUUUGUGAUUCAUGACUGGGGUGAAGUCGUAACAAGGUAAGCGUAGCGAG
rnacentral:rRNA from 1 species